CUCAACUAAAUCGUCCUGGAUUCUUGUCACUUUUUUCGUUUGUUUUUACUUGUUGUAGAUUUGACUUUCCCUGCUGUUAAUUCUGUCUUCCUCCUGCCUCUCCAGCCUGAUAAGUAGUGAACUGGGAGUCUGUCUGUUGAAUUUUUUUUCUGUGGUUGGGAUGGGAAUGGAAUGCUUGGUAAAGAGUGUGUUUCCUCCUCAUAUCUUCUUCAGGUUUCCAGAUUCUUCUACAGUUUGUUUCCUGCUGUUCCAGCAAAGGAGGAGUAAUGGCAGAAUUCCACCAAGGUGAUGCUCUCCACCUUGCCGGCAAGGCUGAGGCCUGUUAAGCUGCACAGAGCCUGCUGAGACUUCUCCUGUGCAGUCGUUGGUCAGCAGUAAUGUGACGUGCUGUUGGUCCAAUACCUGAAUAGGCUAAGUCUGGUUUGCUCCUACGAAAUACAAUGUUAAAUUCAAAUGUGAUUGGAGGAAUUCUAAUAUAUUCUAAUAUAUUUCCAUUUUCUCUUGAAAAACUACUGGAUAAUCUUGAGCUUGGAAACAAAGCCCCAGAACUGUUUUUUGGCUCUGAAUCCUUUCCUAUCCUGUGGGUGUAGGUGGUGGCAGAACACCUGUAGAGGCUGAAAAAACAGUCCGUUCCCAGCUUUCCUGGUAGCUCACGUGUGGGCUAUCAGGAGUCCAGCCUGUCAGGCUGAAGUGGAGCUGGUGAGUGCAGAGACGCUGGCCCUGGGUAUCAGGGGGAGGCUGUGCUGGCCUGCCAGGACUUGGUGUGAAUGUGUGUCUGCACUCAGUUGUGGUCCUGCCAUUCCCCCUUGUGACUUUCCUGCAGUGUUCUGCAUCCUUUUUGGAAAUUUUGUGAGCUACUCAGAGUCUUUUCAGUACAUUAUUUUUCUGCUUAGAGCAUUCAGAACCUGUCUGUACAAUCGAGUUGUUUCCUGGGCUGGGGUUGUGGCUCAGUAGUAGAGCACUUGCCUGGCAUGUGUGAGGCACUGGGUUCAAUUCUCAGCACCACAUAUAAAUAAGUAAAGGUCCACUGUAAACUAAUACAUACAUAUAUAUUUAAAAACAGACAGUCGGGCCUGGAGAUGUGGCUCAAGCGGUAGCGUGCUCGCCUGGCAUGCGUGCAGCCUGGGUUCAAUCCUCAGCACCAGAUACAAAUAAAGAUGUUGUGUCCACCGAAAACUAAUAAUAAAUAAUAAAAUUC
rnacentral:lncRNA from 1 species